rnacentral:rRNA from 1 species
CCUACGGGGGGCAGCAGUGGGGAAUCUUCCGCAAUGGGCGAAAGCCUGACGGAGCAACGCCGCGUGAGUGAUGACGGCCUUCGGGUUGUAAAACUCUGUGAUCCGGGACGAAAAGGCAGAGUGCGAAGAACAAACUGCAUUGACGGUACCGGAAAAGCAAGCCACGGCUAACUACGUGCCAGCAGCCGCGGUAAUACGUAGGUGGCAAGCGUUGUCCGGAAUUAUUGGGCGUAAAGCGCGCGCAGGCGGCUUCCCAAGUCCCUCUUAAAAGUGCGGGGCUUAACCCCGUGAUGGGAAGGAAACUGGGAAGCUGGAGUAUCGGAGAGGAAAGUGGAAUUCCUAGUGUAGCGGUGAAAUGCGUAGAGAUUAGGAAGAACACCGGUGGCGAAGGCGACUUUCUGGACGAAAACUGACGCUGAGGCGCGAAAGCGUGGGGAGCGAACGGGAUUAGAUACCCCAGUAGUC